GAAAAGGGUAAAGAGGUAAAAAUUUUAAGAAAGAAAGAUUAGGACCUGCCCUGGUCGAGCAUCGCUCUCUGGGCUUAGUAGAGUGUGGUUGCCGGAGUAAAGGUCCCUGGUCGAGCAUUGCUCUCUAGGCGCCGGCUUAUUUGGAAAUUUAAGUGACCAGACUGGAGGUAAGGUCCCUGGUCGAGCUAAGCUCUCUGGGCGCCAGUCUUAUUGGAUUAAAAGAGCCGAAUGGCUACUAGAUUUCUUAUUUGGAUAUUUAAGUGACCAGACUGGAGGUAAGGUCCCUGGUCGAGCAUUGCUCUCGGGGCGCCAGUCUUAUUGGAUUAAGAGGGCCGAAUGGCUACUAGAUUUCUUAUUUGGAUAUUUAAGUGACCAGACUGGAGGUAAGGUCCCUGGUCGAGCAUUGCUCUCGGGGCGCCAGUCUUAUUGGAUUAAGAGAGUCGAAUGGC
rnacentral:lncRNA from 1 species